rnacentral:rRNA from 1 species
ACGCUCGACACCUACGGGAGCAGCAGUGGGGAAUAUUGGGCAAUGGGCGAAAGCCUGACCCAGCAACGCCGCGUGAGGGAAGAAGGUUUUCGGAUUGUAAACCUCUGUCCUCAGGGACGAAGGACGUGACGGUACCUGAGGAGGAAGCCCCGGCUAACUACGUGCCAGCAGCCGCGGUAAUCUGAGGCGGGCGUGGACAAGGC